CCUGGCUCAGGAUGAACGCUAGCUACAGGCUUAACACAUGCAAGCCGAGGGCAGCAUAUCGAAGCUUGCUUGAUAGAUGGCGACCGGCGCACGGGUGCGUAACACGUAUCCAAUCUACCCAUGGCUCAGGGAUAGCCUUUCGAAAGAAAGAUUAAUACCUGAUGGUUUCAUGAUUCCGCAUGGACUUAUGAAUAAAGAUUUAUCGGCGAUGGAUGAGGAUGCGUCCGAUUAGCUUGUUGGCGGGUAACGGCCCACCAAGGCGACGAUCGGUAGGGGCUCUGAGAGGAGGAUCCCCCACAUUGGAACUGAGACACGGUCCAAACUCCUACGGGAGGCAGCAGUGAGGAAUAUUGGUCAAUGGGCGAGAGCCUGAACCAGCCAAGUAGCGUGAGGGAUGACUGCCCUAUGGGUUGUAAACCUCUUUUGUUUGGGAAUAAAGUGAGCCACGUGUGGCUUUUUGUAUGUACCUUACGAAUAAGCAUCGGCUAAUUCCGUGCCAGCAGCGGC
rnacentral:rRNA from 1 species